GCAGCACAUAGCACUGGCUGGUUAUAAAGGACUUGUCUAGGGGAGAGCCUGUAGGUACUCCAUUGUCUGAUGGAUCUGAGAACGCUGUCUGGGCUUGGUACCAAGAGCUGGUAUUUCACAGCAGCGACCGCCUCACAGACGAGCUGUGGGAAGCAGGAGGGAGACUCUCUCUUAGGGUGCCACUACUAUGGAGACACAGCUGGGCUGAACAAGAUUUGCUUCAAACGACAACAAGAGAGACAGAAAGUAUCUGGUUCAACCGCUGCCCGAGCAGGCAGGCACCAGAAGAGCUAGCAGCCAAUCCGGCCAUGCUCGAAGCCAGCUCUGCAGCUCAGCCAAUCAGUGACAUCAUUGGCAAUCACGAUCGUCUUCCUUAAGGAAUAACAUCUGCACAACCUCCAGAGCCAAAAAUCUGCAACCUCCCGCACAGUAUGAAUUAUGAUUUCUUGGAAUUGGGAACACUUGACAAACUGAAGUAGAAAAAUGGAAGGUUUAAAGGAAUGGAUCAACAUUUUAUUGAGUGUGCCAUGUGGCGACAGCGCAAACUCCCAUUCCUUUGAAAUGAUGGAGAAUGGUGAGGAAAGGGGGCCAAAAAUAUACCUACAUGUGUUCAUUUGAUUUUUAGACACAGCCGAAAUGUAAUGUGUUUUAUGAAGACGUGGCUGCCUCUGUGUUUUUCUGUGGACAUCCUAGCAAGGUCCUGUAAAGGGCGUAGCAACGUGGAGAAAUAAAUGGGGGGCGAAGGUGGUCGUGAAAGCAGAGAAAUUGUCUCCCCUCGAGAAGGAAGCAAUGUAAUGUAGCAGGAACCAUUUUGACCCCGGAGUUAAAAAUUAUAGUGUACCUCCGACUCUUUCUCUUGUUAUCACCUUGAUCAGAUCACUUAAUUUCUUUCCAUUUUCUCCUGCAUUCAAAAAUUCAAGACAAUGCCAGCAUAGAGAUUUUCUCUUUGUGUGAAAUGCCUUCCCAUUUUUUAAGAGUCUAGAUCCUUUUUUGCUUCAAGGACCAAGUUAAAUGUCUCCUCUUCUGUGAAAUCUCUCCAAAUCAUCACGACCAGAAUCUCUCACUUCUCCACCCCUUUUCAUCUCCUUUAUUGCCUGUGUGCCAGUCAGUAUUGCUGUAGGGCCACAUGUGUGUACGUCUUUGCCACUAGACUGAAAGCCCCUUGGGGACAGAGACCACAUUGAAUUCUUCCACCCCCAGCUCUAAGAAUAAUGAAUGAUGCUCCUAAGGUUCAAAUCCAUGUUUUAAUUAAUGAAUUAUAAGUACAUUAUAAAUUGCAGAGGGAGGGUCAUACAAAUUCUGGGGAUUACAAUUAUUGUUGUCAACUAUUACCACUAUGUACCAGUUGAUGUCAGCUUUACCUCAUCAAUGUUAAGCCUUUUAUUUCACUGGCCCUUCAUAAUAAAUCUCAGAUUAAAUGGUCCUUGUAUUAUUUUUCUUAAAUAGCCAGUCAUAAGGAAAUGCAAAUCAUUUUGUUUAUUAAAUAUAAAAUUGAGCCAACUUAGUUGGUGUUUAAAAACUUAAAAAUAGGUGAAAUUUAUGUAGAUUCAAGCAACCAUGAUAAGCAAAUUACAGUAUCCAGCUCUACUGUUCAUGAUAUGAAAAAUUACUUGGAAAAGGUAAGCAGUUAACAUGGAAUGUUGAAAUGCUUUACAAAGCAUAAUAAAUCAGGAAAUAUAGAAUCCCAUGUCAGCGUUAUAAUUAAUGUAUGUAUUUUUAAUCUGUAAACUAGUACAAUAAUCUUGAGUGAUUUCUAGAUGUUUUUGAUAUAAUCUGAUAACAUAAUGCCAAAGCAUGAUUGAUUUUAUGUUAGUUAUCUAUUUAAGUUUAUACUUUUGGUUAUUAUACUACUGCUAAGAGGAAAUUAAUGUUUUGGCAAAAAUGAUAUUUUUGUUAAUGUUUGAAAAUCGUCUUUAGAUUUAAAAAUAUAUUUUAAACUGUUUUUCACUACCUUUUAUGAGAAGAGAAUGAAAUAAUUAGAAAAUAUAUAUAUCUUUACUUUUAUAUCUGGAAAAAUAGAAAUUUCAGAGCUUGAAAUCAGCUUAAGUCUUUAUUUUGUAAAAGUAUUAGAGAGGAAAAGUAUCUCGCCCAAAAUACGUACUUUCAAGUUCCCGGGACAGCUAAGACUGGUGUCAAGAAUUCGGAAAGACUGGGUCAAUAUUUUUUUACCCUACCAAAUAAUCUUCAUGUUAAAAACCAGCAAGAUAGGAUUAUACAAUUUUAUAGUACUAACAUAAAUUACAUUUACUUAUGUAAUCCAAUACUGUAUGUAGAAUUCACAUAUCAUAGGGAAAAAUGGGAGACUGGACCUUAUUGAGCUGUAUUUUUCCACUAUCCUACAAUAAUGCAAUUGGGUCCUAAUAAAUAAUCAUUUAUAUUAGUAUUCUUUAAAAAUAAUUAUGGUUAUGAUGAAGUAAAAAUGGAAAUGAUAUCUGGGUUCACUUUGCUAGCUCUGAAUUCAGUUAACACAGAUAUUAUAUCUUAAUGACAAGAUUGGUUAAAUAGAUUUGGGUGGGUCAGUUUGAACUUUUUUUAACCAAUGAAUUAUACUGUUAUUCUUAAUCUUUUUUAUUCUGCUUAAGUCUCCAGUUAUCCCAAAGAUGAGAUAUUUGCAUCUAGCCAAUUAUUUAAAAAUAUAAUUCUGGACCUUGUAAAUACUGAGAGAUGAAUUGUGCCCACUUAGAAACGAAUGUUUCUCAAAGACAAUAAAAAUAGUAGGACUGUCCAGCAUCUUCUGUUUAGAAAAUUACAGUUAAGAGUUCAGAGAGUGACUGAGAAAAUGUAAAGCAUCUUAAAGAAAAUGUUACUUUACUUCCUAAUUUAAGACGUGGUAACUGACAGCCGUGUGCAUUUGAAUACUAUUUUGUUUUUCUAAAUUUAUUAAAGUAAUGAUAAACAAGAUAGAAAUAAUGUAACACCCCCCCAUACUGGUACUUAUUGAUACCAUAAUUGUACGGUCCUUAUUCCAAAAUUAAUUAUUGAAUUAGGAAAGUGGAGUAAAUAUUAGGGCAUAGGCUUACACAGCAAAACUAGUAAGUUUGUGAUUGAGAAUUGCUUAUUUGUAAGAUGGCAAAGAAAUAGAUAAAACUGACCUAAAACAUUUGCAUAUUCUGGCUUUUUUUCCUGCUUAACCCUUACGACAUGAUUUAAAAGCAGUAUCAAUAUAUUUCGGUGUUUACCGAGUAUUUCCACGAACUGAAGAUAACACAUCUUGUUAUUGAUCAGUGAGGUUGCUCUGUAACUGGUUGCUGAACCAAGAGGAGGAACAAAAGGCUUUGAGUUAAUGGCUAAUAUUUGCUGGGGCCUAAUAUUUCCACUAUAUGCCAUAUGCUACACUAUGUGCUAUGCACACAUUCUUUCAUUUAAUUCUCAAAUCAAUCCUUUGGUAUAAUUACUAUCCUUAUUUUACAAAACUGAGAAAAUUGAGUUUCAAAAAGGCUAAGCCACUCCUCAAAGUCACAUGACUAACAAGCAGCAAAAGAGGGAUUUGAACGAAGGAUUCUGACUUGAGAGAAUGCAUUCCUAAUCAUUCCAAACUGAAUAAUCAGUACAUGUGAUUUUGCUGUUUGCUGUAGAAACAGAUUUUUUAUAUAUAUUACAUUCAUUAAUGGUGUAUCUGGUUCAGUUUUUUAAAUGUUCACAUAUAUUUUUACCUUAGCAUUUUAUAGGUCAGUUUGAAAGCUAUUGAGUUCGCAAUAAUAUCUACAUUAAUAUUUUCUUCAUAUUUUGGUAUUUCUGCACCCAAUCAGAUCAUUUAGGUAAUACAUACCAAAACAAUUUCUAAACAGUGACAUACCAGACAAAUGUAAGGUCAUGUUAGUAGUAAAAUGUCUUUGUAAGUCUGAAUUACUAAAAAUAAGUAUUAGACUAAAUGUUUCCAUUUCCUCUUUUUCCUAGAUAUUUUACUUAUUAAAUAUAACACCUAUUUUAUGACAAAAUUAAUUCUCAUUAAUUUGGCAGUUGCAGAAUGUCACUUUGGCUUAUUUAGACCCUGACUAUCCAGACAUGUAAGGUAGUUCAGGUUCUCACUCCUGUUUACACAUCUUGUGUCUACAACCCACUGCAAUCCACAGGAUGUUAAAAGAAUCUUACAAUUACUGAAUAUGUAGUAAUAUAUUUUAUGCCUAAUGCUAGAUUUUUUAGUUUUUAUCUACAGUGGUCAAGACUAGAGGGCAUAGCUGACAAGUUGUUGACUUUCAGGGAAUCAGCUUAAUUUGGGGAAGGGAAAGGAGAAAACAGAAUUGUGUAGUUUCUUAGCUUCCUGAUGAAAUGUUGUCCAGUUUCUUUCUCAAUUUUCUAUUUCUUUCUAGAACAAUGUUGUACACUUACCAUAUGUCAGAAACUGUGCAGGCAAUAAAAUGAUCCUCUCAUGAA
ensembl:lncRNA MIR99AHG mir-99a-let-7c cluster host gene